ACCCCCAGGGUCAUCUGAACCCCAGAGUAGAAUGAUGAGAGGGGAGAAAUAGUUUCCUCUUUUUCAAAUUAAGGAAGCAUCACACCUUCCCUUUCAUAUAGUUUGGGAAAGCUUUCAAGUCUACCUCAUUUCAAAGUUUUGCCAACAAAGAAAAGAAUGAAUUUGGAGACAAUUCCUUGAAAGAACCUGAGGAGCAAAAGAACAAACAUUAAACAUAGCAGCUGGAAAUAGGAAAAACGGUGCUGGAUACAUUUAAAAAAAGGUCCAGUUAUUAGAGGCACAACCAUCGGCCAAGGACUUUUGACACGAGAAGCAAAAUAUGUUUGAGUAUGCAAACAAGUCGGAAAAGAGGUUCAUGAAGUUGUGACAAGAAAAGCCAGUGGGUCCUGAAGAACGGGCUGACCAACAACUCAGAUCUGUGAAACAAGCCACAGAAUUCUACCAUCAAAACAAGAAGUUUUUGGAAGAGAAAGGCAAAGAGACCCACAUUUCUGAGUGGCACAGUGAUAUUGGAAGAUUCUGAAGAGUAGAGAUUGAACCGAUUGAAAAACCUUAUUUGUGGUGGGGGAUGCUCCCAAUGAAGACAGAAAUUGAAAAACAAUCAGCUCUUAUGUAUAGAUACUGAAAAGACCCUUGAUAAUGUUCAUUGGAGCUCUAUAAGAAGGAUGCCGCAGAAUUUAAAGACGGGCAGACAUUUUUAAGCUGGAGAAAAACAAUACACACAAAACAAAAUGAGGAGCAAAAGAGCAAAAGCAGGUUUAAAAAAGAAAGAAAAC